rnacentral:rRNA from 1 species
GAUGAACGCUAGCGGCAGGCUUAAUACAUGCAAGUCGAGGGGCAGCAGGUCUGUAGCAAUACAGAUGCUGGCGACCGGCAAACGGGUGCGUAACACGUACGCAACCUUCCCGUUACUGGGGAAUAGCCCAGGGAAACUUGGAUUAAUACCCCAUAUUAUAUUGGUUGGGCAUCCGACUGAUAUCAAAGUUUUAACGGUAACGGAUGGGCGUGCGGUUGAUUAGGUAGUUGGCGGGGUAACGGCCCACCAAGCCUACGAUCAAUAGCUGAUGUGAGAGCACGAUCAGCCACACGGGCACUGAGACACGGGCCCGACUCCUACGGGAGGCAGCAGUAAGGAAUAUUGGGCAAUGGACGCAAGUCUGACCCAGCCAUGCCGCGUGAAGGAUGUAGGUCCUCUGGAUUGUAAACUUCUUUUAUCUGGGGCGAAAAUCGGGUAUUCUUAUCCGCUUGACAGUACCAGAGGAAUAAGCACCGGCUAACUCCGUGCCAGCAGCCGCGGUAAUACGGAGGGUGCAAGCGUUAUCCGGAUUCACUGGGUUUAAAGGGUGCGUAGGUGGGCAGGUAAGUCAGUGGUGAAAUCCCCGAGCUUAACUUGGGAACUGCCGUUGAUACUAUCUGUCUUGAAUGCUGUGGAGGUAA